rnacentral:rRNA from 1 species
UACAGAGGGGGCAAGCGUUGUUCGGAAUUACUGGGCGUAAAGCGCACGUAGGCGGAUUUGUAAGUCAGGGGUGAAAUCCCGGGGCUCAACCUCGGAACUGCCUUUGAUACUGCAAAUCUCGAGUCCGGAAGAGGUGAGUGGAAUUCCUAGUGUAGAGGUGAAAUUCGUAGAUAUUAGGAAGAACACCUGCGGCGAAGGCGGGUUGCUGGGCUGACACUGACGCUGAGGCGCGAAAGCUAGGGGAGCAAACGGG